UGGGGAAUCUUGCACAAUGCGCGAAAGCGUGAUGCAGCAACGCCGCGUGGGGGAAGAAGGCCUUCGGGUUGUAAACCCCUUUCAGUUGGGACGAAGCUUCGCCGGUGAAUAGCCGGGUGGAGUGACGGUACCUUCACAAGAAGCCCCGGCUAACUACGUGCCAGCAGCCGCGGUAAUACGUAGGGGGCAAGCGUUGUCCGGAAUCAUUGGGCGUAAAGCGCGUGUAGGCGGCCCGGUAAGUCCGCUGUGAAAGUCGGGGGCUCAACCCUCGAAUGCCGGUGGAUACUGUCGGGCUAGAGUGCGGAAGAGGCGAGUGGAAUUCCUGGUGUAGCGGUGAAAUGCGCAGAUAUCAGGAGGAACACCAAUUGCGAAGGCAGCUCGCUGGGACGUGACUGACGCUGAGACGCGAAAGCGUGGGGAGCAAACA
rnacentral:rRNA from 1 species